AUUGAACGCUGGCGGCAGGCCUAACACAUGCAAGUCGAACGGUAACAGGAAGCAGCUUGCUGCUUUGCUGACGAGUGGCGGACGGGUGAGUAAUGUCUGGGAAACUGCCCGAUGGAGGGGGAUAACUACUGGAAACGGUAGCUAAUACCGCAUAACGUCGCAAGACCAAAGCGGGGGACCUUAGGGCCUCUUGCCAUCGGAUGUGCCCAGAUGGGAUUAGCUAGUAGGUGGGGUAACGGCUCACCUAGGCGACGAUCCCUAGCUGGUCUGAGAGGAUGACCAGCAACACUGGAACUAGGACACGGUCCAGACUCCUACGGGAGGCAGCAGUGGGGAAUAUUGCACAAUGGGCGCAAGCCUGAUGCAGCCAUGCCGCGUGUAUAAAGAAGGCCUUCGGGUUGUAAAGGACUUUCAGCGGGGAGGAAGAGAGUAAAGUUAAUACCUUUGCUCAUUGACGUUACCCGCAGAAGAGGCACCGGCUAACUCCGUG
rnacentral:rRNA from 1 species